AUACUUACCUGGUAGGGAAGAUACCAUGACCACGAAGGUGGUUUUCUCAAGGCGAGGCUGGUCUGUUGCACUCUGGAUGUGCUGACCCCUGUGAUUUCCCCAAAUGUGGGAAAAUCUACUGCAUAAUUUGUAGUAGUAGGGGACUGUGUUCGUGCUCUCCCCUG
ensembl:snRNA U1 U1 spliceosomal RNA